rnacentral:rRNA from 1 species
GAUGAACGCUAGCGGCAGGCUUAAUACAUGCAAGUCGAGGGGUAGCAAGAUUGUAGCAAUACAAUUGUUGACGACCGGCAAACGGGCGCGGAACACGUACGCAACCUUCCUACAAGUGGGGAAUAGCCCAGAGAAAUUUGGAUUAAUACCCCGUAACAUAGCGAUGUGGCAUCACAUUGCUAUUAUAGCUUCGGCGCUUGUUGAUGGGUGUGCGGCUGAUUAGAUAGUUGGCGGGGUAACGGCCCACCAAGUCUACGAUCAGUAGCUGAUGUGAGAGCAUGAUCAGCCACACGGGCACUGAGACACGGGCCCGACUCCUACGGGAGGCAGCAGUAAGGAAUAUUGGACAAUGGACGCAAGUCUGAUCCAGCCAUGCCGCGUGAAGGAUUAAGGCCCUCUGGAUUGUAAACUUCUUUUAUAAGGGACGAAAAAAGGUCUUUCUAGAUCGUCUGACGGUACCUUAUGAAUAAGCACCGGCUAACUCCGUGCCAGCCGCCGCAGUAAUAC